UACGUAGGGCGCAAGCGUUGUCCGGAAUUAUUGGGCGUAAAGAGCUCGUAGGCGGUUUGUCGCGUCUGCCGUGAAAACCCAACGCUUAACGUUGGGCUUGCGGUGGGUACGGGCAGACUAGAGUGCGGUAGGGGUGACUGGAAUUCCUGGUGUAGCGGUGGAAUGCGCAGAUAUCAGGAGGAACACCGAUGGCGAAGGCAGGUCACUGGGCCGCAACUGACGCUGAGGAGCGAAAGCAUGGGGAGCGAACAGG
rnacentral:rRNA from 1 species